UCGGUGGCAAGCCGCCACCAACGUUGGCCGCGUCGCUCGAGUGUGCUGCCACUUUCCACCAACGCCGCUGUUAUGCAUCUCCACCUCUGGCCGCCACUGUUCUGCAUCUCCUGGACGGCUUCACUUGGAUAGAGUACUGCAGUGGCAAAUGGAUUCAUAUGAGAAACGGAUUACUCACGGCACAUCGACAUUGCUAGAGGAUCAAUCAUCGCAGGCACAUCAGUCAAGAUCUAGAAGGAAAACUGGUCGAGAAUGGCCGCAUGGUUAGUGGCUUGAUUCAUGAUUGUGUUAUGCAAUUUUUCUUGAUGCUAGCCUGCUGGUGUCUGCAUUCAUGCGUGUGUUUAUACAGUUUUUCCUGUUCUUGGCAAGGAGUCGUGCUGGUGUCCUACUCGAUCGACAUGUGCAGGUGAGCUCUGUCUGCCUCCAUGCCGCCGCUAACGCCUCUAAGUCCUGCGCCGUGGCGCCGCAGGAGGCCACCAGUGGUGGCAUCGUUGGCGGUCCGGCCUUGAUGCUCCCGGUAGUCAUCGCUGUUCAGCCGACCAGAGCAGCGGCCUCUCCAUGAUCUCCCCGCACCAACUAUUCAUGGCGGCGCGCCCGCUGCAGCACGCCGCCGAGAUAGCCAUGUUGUUCGAUGAGGCCGGCAUCAUAUGUGGCAAGGAGGUACGGUGGCGUCCUCCUACUUCUUCCGAAUCAGUGACACUCCUGGUCUUCUUAUACGCGCGUUGUUUGCUGCUAAUUCAACUAUUCUUUUGGUAUGUACAACUCACAUCUCUGCAUUUUUUUCCCUUUACUUCAACACACCCUGGAAUCUGCUCACGUUCACCAUUCGUUGGUAAUUUUUAGUUGUAGAUUUUUUCAUUUACAUCUCAGUCCGGCCUUAGUCGCAUGAAUGAAAUCAUUGUUAUUACCUUUUUUUUCUUACUAAACACAGCCUGGGGUCUGCUCAAAGAUAUUGGUCAGUAGUAUAUGAAUAAAAAUAGUAUAUUGCUUUACCAGUACAGUAUCCUGCAGAUGAGCUCUUGAUUAUUCUGCCAAAUCUCUCGGGAGUCAGGAGUAUGUGUAUAGAUGAUUGAAUGCGUCGACUACUAUGAAACAAUGCAGCUAAAUCUGAUCUGAAUUCUGACUGGCAUGACUGAACACAUGCAAUUCCUCCAGAUUUAGACAUGAGGUACCCAUUUUUUUCUGAUUAUUCAUCUAUUGGUUCCUUUUGUGAUACAGUCCUUCAUGUUUUUUUUCGUUCAGAUCUAAUUGCUGCAACUUCACUGGCACAUAAACAUUUGAUGGAUUACUGAAAGAUGCACGAGUUUUGGUUUCGAUUUUUCAGGGUCCUGCAGUGAUCAUGCACAUCAAGUAUUUUUCAAAAUGGCAAACUUCGAAAUGCACGCAACACAGAUUAUCAACUUAAGGCGUUCGAGAUAGUGAAUAGAUUUAUGUACUAUUAAAUUAAGAAAUAAUCUUAUAAUGUUUUCAAUUCGUUACAAAACUCAACAGAUUUUGUGUAUUGGUUGUUACUUCUAUGGAUGUCAAUUGCUAGCUACAUCAAAGGUACGGCUAAUUAUAAAAAGUUACAGGUAUUAUCUAAGCAAUUUUAAAAGGUUUAUCAGUGAGUGGAGGUCUCUCUCUAAUAGAAAAUGUCUCCCUGUCUGAACUGUCAGUUGGUGAUUGGAAACGAAACUCAAAUAUGUAGAGCUGCAUAAAUAUUGUUCUUCUAUAGCUACGGUAGGUUUAGUACUUCUGUCGGAUCAUGAUAUCAGCUGUGGUGCAUACAUUUUUGUGUAGUCACAUUUUUGGCUAUGUUUUCUUAAGAUUCAGGGCUUUUUUCAUUGACGCAUUUCUUACUUGCAUGUCUACUAUGUUGCUUUUUAGAUGGUACAAGUGUGAGAUUGAACUGUAAUUUGUCCAUUCACAAUGACUCUAAUGUGCUUCUAUACAUAGAGAAAAUGAUGUAACAUCAUUUUUUCGCUGGGGUUUGAGAUUCGUGUUGCAUGCCCAACUGGUAUCAUUCAAGGCUAAAAUGUGUCUCCAACAGUCGGUGGAGCAAUUUAAGGAAACCCUGUUUGAAAGGCUUUGUUGCCAUCAUUGUUUAAAUAGCUAAUUACUGAGUACUUCCUCGGCAAAGGGAUGAUCUCAAAUGAAUAUUUAAGUUUAUUGGAUCAAGAUGCUGUAAAUUCAUAUGAGAGAACAUUUUUAUUUUCCUUCAUAUUACUUUUAAGAGAUUGCUGAUCCAUGUUUUUCUGAAUGAGAAGUUUCAUAGUUUGCUUUAAUAUGUAGUGAGGUUACUCUUAUGUGAAAUGACGCUGUCAGUUAAAAGUCUA